AUUGAACGCUGGCGGCAGGCCUAACACAUGCAAGUCGAACGAGUGGCGGACGGGUGAGUAAUGUCUGGGAAACUGCCUGAUGGAGGGGGCUAACUACUGGAAACGGUAGCUAAUACCGCAUACCAUCAGAUGUGCCCAAAUGGGAUUAGCUAUUUGGUGGGGUACAGGCACACCAGGGCGACGAUCCCUAGCUGGUCUGAGAGGAUGACCAGCCACACUGGAACUGGGACACUGUCCAGACUCCUACGGGAGGCAGCAGUGGGGAAUAUUGCGCAAUGGGCGCAAGCCGGAUGCAGCCAUGCCGCGUGUAUGAAGAAGGCCUUCGGGUUGUAAAGUACUUUCAGCGGGGAGGCGUUACCCGCAGAAGAAGCACCGGCUAACUCCGUGCCAGCAGCCGCGGUAAUAC
rnacentral:rRNA from 1 species